UUUCUAUCAAGAGAGGCUGAGGGACUGGCCCUAUGACGCCCGGCAACCUAAUACAUUUAAUGGUGCUAAUUCCAGUAGGAUUAUCCUUGAAGAUGGGAA
rfam:Clostridium tyrobutyricum DIVETGP, WGS project CBXI01000000 data, contig: NODE_1